UUACAAACACACCAAACACUUCAAAACACCAUACACACAACUCUCUGUUCUCUCUUAUAAUAAAUUAAGUCUCUUCUUCUAUUUAAUAUUAUAAUUAAUUAAUUAAUUUUCUUAUGCACUUUUCUUCUUUUUAUAGAUACAUAUCUUUUGUAUAAAAAUUUAAUAUGAGAAUAUUGGAGAAAAUGAAGAGGGAGAGGGAGGAACUACUAGCUAGUUAAGUAAGGUUGUUGACAGAAGAUAGAGGGCACUAAGGAUGAUAUGCAUACACAUAUAUAUACAACAUGGAGGAGGAGCUUAAUUGCAUUUCAUUUCCUUUGUGCUCUCUAGACUUCUGUCAUCACCUCAUCUUUCUCACCUUUUUAUUAACUCCAAUUAAUGAUCAUAUAUUUAUAUCUGCAAUUUUUUUUCUUGAUAAACCUAGAAUGGAGUUUGUUAUUAUAGUUUGAUCAUCAUAUUUAAUUAUUUAUUUAUUGUUUUUGAUGAAAAUCAUCAUAUAUAUGUUUAGACACACAAACACACUUGUUUUUAUUUUUAUUUUUAUUUUUAUAUAAAUCAUAAUAAUACAACUUUUUUCUUUUGUUGAUAAGUGUCCUCUUUAAUUUUUCAUCUCAAAUUAAUGCAUUAUGAUCAUAAUUUAUGACCUUCUCCUAAGAUAAUUCUAAGUAUUUGUUGGCAUUGAUAUAUAUUUGCAUUUUGAAUUUUUUGUCAUAAUUAAAAGGAAAAGUUUAAUUCUAAUUUGAGUACAAGGAUACUAGCCAUUAAACAGCAUCAUACAAAAAGAUGAAACAUAAAUAAUAUAAUAGUACUAAGAUUGUGAUUGUUGUUGUUUUUAUGAUCAAAACUAAUUUUUUGAUUAAGAAAGAUGUAUCAAAGUUUUAGAUUGUUAUUGUUUGUUGUUUGAAAUUUGCAUUUUGCAGUUUGACAUGGAGAAACCAAGCAGGAACCAUAACACUAUGGCUGCAAAAAGAUAACGAUACUUCAUAUUGGUUUACAUGUGAAAUGCUAAGAAGGGUAUAGCUAGAACUACCACUACAAAUCUAUCUACUACCUUCUUGGUGGAGGAAGGACCAAAUGGAAAUUAAUAGGAAAGCAUGUGGGAAGAUUAGAGAAGGACCAAAGUGAAAAAUAAAUAGGAAUAUCUGGCAUGCAGAGAACAGGGUCCAAAAUGAUCAGUAUGACAUAUUGUAGGGCAUAUACUCUGCAGGAUAUUUUUUUUCAAAGUCAGUACCCCACCCACAUUUGUUCACGUAUUGGAAGAGGCUAGCUAUGUGACCACUCUAUCUAGUCAAUGGUGUACGGAAUAUUACUACAAGAUUGUGUCUUUUAAUUUCUAGGUGACCACUCUAGAUAGGUCUUCUAAUAUACAGUAAUUAUUUGAGGCUUAAUUAUAAGUCCCAAUGUAAUUUAUCAAAAAUAUUAUAUUUACCAUUUACUCAUGAA